UGGGGAAUAUUGCACAAUGGGCGCAAGCCUGAUGCAGUCAUGCCGCGUGUAUGAAGAAGGCCUUCGGGUUGUAAAGUACUUUCAGUCGUGAGGAAGGUUGUAGUGUGAAUAGCACUAUGAUUUGACGUUAGCGACAGAAGAAGCACCGGCUAACUCCGUGCCAGCAGCCGCGGUAAUACGGAGGGUGCGAGCGUUAAUCGGAAUUACUGGGCGUAAAGCGCAUGCAGGUGGUUUGUUAAGUCAGAUGUGAAAGCCCUGGGCUCAACCUAGGAGUUGCAUUUGAAACUGACAAGCGAGAGUACUGUAGAGGGGGGUAGAAUUUCAGGUGUAGCGGUGAAAUGCGUAGAGAUCUGAAGGAAUACCGGUGGCGAAGGCGGCCCCCUGGACAGAUACUGACACUCAGACGCGAAAGCGUGGGGAGCAAACA
rnacentral:rRNA from 1 species